GCCUGGGUGGCUUAGUCGGUUAAGCGUCCGACUUCGGCUCAGGUCAUGAUCUCACGGUCUGUGGGUUCAAGCCCCGCGUCGGGCU
rnacentral:tRNA from 1 species